AGAGUUUGAUCCUGGCUCAGGAUGAACGCUGGCGGUAUGCUUAACACAUGCAAGUCGAACGGGAUCUUUGGGGAUUCAGUGGCGGACGGGUGAGUAACGCGUGAGAAUCUGCCCUUAGGUUGGGGACAACCACUGGAAACGGUGGCUAAUACCGAAUAAGCCGCAAGGUAAAAGAUUAAUUGCCUAGGGAUGAGCUCGCGUCUGAUUAGCUAGUUGGUGGGGUAAAGGCCUACCAAGGCGUCGAUCAGUAGCUGGUCUGAGAGGACGAUCAGCCACACUGGGACUGAGACACGGCCCAGACUCCUACGGGAGGCAGCAGUGGGGAAUUUUCCGCAAUGGGCGAAAGCCUGACGGAGCAAUACCGCGUGGGGGAGGAAGGCUCUUGGGUCGUAAACCUCUUUUCUCAGGGAAGAAAAAAAUGACGGUACCUGAGGAAUCAGCAUCGGCUAACUCCGUGCCAGCAGCCGCGGUAAUACGGAGGAUGCAAGCGUUAUCCGGAAUGAUUGGGCGUAAAGCGUCCGCAGGUGGCAAUUCAAGUCUGCUGUUAAAGGUCGGGGCUCAACCCCGAAAUGGCGGUGGAAACUGAAUAGCUAGAGUGCGGUGGGGGCAGAGGGAAUUCCUGGUGUAGCGGUGAAAUGCGUAGAGAUCAGGAAGAACACCGGUGGCGAAAGCGCUCUGCUAGGCCGCAACUGACACUCAUGGACGAAAGCUAGGGGAGCGAAUGGGAUUAGAUACCCCCGUAGUCC
rnacentral:rRNA from 1 species